rnacentral:rRNA from 1 species
AUUGAACGCUGGCGGCAGGCCUAACACAUGCAAGUCGAACGGUAACAGGAAGAAGCUUGCUUCUUUGCUGACGAGUGGCGGACGGGUGAGUAAUGUCUGGGAAACUGCCUGAUUGAGGGGGAUAACUACUGGAAACGGUAGCUAAUACCGCAUAACGUCGCAAGACCAAAGAGGGGGACCUUCGGGCCCCUUGCCAUCGGAUGUGCCCAGAUGGGAUUAGCUAGUAGGUGGGGUAACGGCUCACCUAGGCGACGAUCCCUAGCUGGUCUGAGAGGAUGACCAGCCACACUGGAACUGAGACACGGUCCAGACUCCUACGGGAGGCAGCAGUGGGGAAUAUUGCACAAUGGGCGCAAGCCUGAUGCAGCCAUGCCGCGUGUAUGAAGAAGGCCUUCGGGUUGUAAAGUACUUUCAGCGGGGAGGAAGGGAGUAAAGUUAAUACCUUUGCUCAUUGACGUUACCCACAGAGGAAGCACCGGCUAACUCCGUG